rnacentral:rRNA from 1 species
AGUCACUGACAUUAGAUACCCGGUAGUCCCAGCCGUAAACAAUGUGCGUUAGGUGUGUCGGUAACCACGUGUUACUGAUGCGCCGAAGAGAAAUCGUGAAACGCACCACUUGGGAAGUACGGUCGCAAGGCUGAAACUUAAAGGAAUUGGCGGGGGAGCACCACAACAGGUGGAGCCUGCGGUUUAAUUGGAUUCAACGCCGGACAUCUCACCGGAUAAGACAGCUGAAUGAUUGUCAAUCUGAAGGUUUUACAUGACUAGCUG